rnacentral:rRNA from 1 species
GAUGAACGCUGGCGGCGUGCCUAAUACAUGCAAGUCGAGCGAACAGAUAAGGAGCUUGCUCCUUUGACGUUAGCGGCGGACGGGUGAGUAACACGUGGGUAACCUACCUAUAAGACUGGGAUAACUUCGGGAAACCGGAGCUAAUACCGGAUAACAUUUGGAACCGCAUGGUUCUUAAGUGAAAGAUGGUUUUGCUAUCACUUAUAGAUGGACCCGCGCCGUAUUAGCUAGUUGGUAAGGUAACGGCUUACCAAGGCAACGAUACGUAGCCGACCUGAGAGGGUGAUCGGCCACACUGGAACUGAGACACGGUCCAGACUCCUACGGGAGGCAGCAGUAGGGAAUCUUCCGCAAUGGGCGAAAGCCUGACGGAGCAACGCCGCGUGAGUGAUGAAGGGUUUCGGCUCGUAAAACUCUGUUAUUAGGGAAGAACAAAUGUGUAAGUAACUGUGCACGUCUUGACGGUACCUAAUCAGAAAGCCACGGCUAACUACGU